ensembl:lncRNA GTF2A1-AS1 GTF2A1 antisense RNA 1
AAAUGCGGAGUCAUCUCUUGAUUUGUCAGCGAGGCUUUGACUGUGAGCUUCGCGGCGUUCGCGCCUCACCGCCUCACCGAGGGUGGGUCUUUCGCGCGCAGAAUUGUGUAGGAUUUUCCAAAGGGAGUAAAAGCCGAUCGGGGCCUACUUUUAACAUUCCACAAUUAGUAACGUCUGAUUCGUUUGUUUCCACAGUGGGUACGCUGCGAAGACUAGGCUUAUGUUACCCAGAGGUUAGUCCUCUACUAGGCCACGUACUUUAAAUAAUUUAUCACGCUAGUGGAAAUGCGGGGUGGAAGAAAACCCCACCAGCCUUUGGAUUGUAACAGCACAGUAACUUUCCCUGGUUUUUAAAAAUAUUGCCAAAAUACUGCGACUCCAUGUGGCCAACGUAUAGUGACUGAUCACUUUGAAAUGCAUGCCCUUGACCCACCAACUCGCAUGGCCUCUCGCUAUAAGAGAGCAAGCCGGCUGUGUUCCAUGUUCAAUUCAAUAAGUGCAAUUCAAUAAGCUUUUGACUUGUUCUGCCCAAGCAAAUCCUGCCUUUAUAUCGACCUUGCAAGCAGAACAGAGAAUGCUGUUUGGAAGGCAGAAUUCAUAGUACCUAGUUUUCUUGUCCCUGGGAAUUUUGAGGGACUUGAAAUGUCGCGUGGAUGAGUGAGGGAGUUUGUCUUCCAGAGACAAAGCAAAACGAAACGUCAAAGUUCUGUGCUGGUGAAACCAGAUUUGAAGAAUAUCAAAGGCGUCUUACCAAAGAGGAAAAAAAAUGCAUCUUGCCAAGACUUGAAGAAAGGGAUUAGAGAAACCAGAGGCCUUGAAUACUCAGAAAAUGGGAGAUUGUGAAUGGGUGUAGAGGAUAUCUAUGAACCUUGACAUUUCUUUUCACGCCAAGUCCAUUCCCCUGUUAACAGUUGCUUCCCAGUUUCCUGCACAGCUGCAUGGUCUGGGACACUUAAAGAAAAAAAUCACAGGAAAUCAGUGUUCUUGGUAUAUUAUAUAAAGUUAUGAUUCUAUCAACAUUUGUAAUUCAUUUAAUAUUCAGGUGACAGCCCGAAAAUUUACACUAAACAAUACCAUUCCUGUUAAGUUUUACUACAUAUUGAGAGGACUUCUUGUUACCUCCCUAUUACAUACUCCCAAACGCUUUGCACAUGGAAUCCCUCACCUUCCACCUAGUUUUCCCCCCUACUAUUGAUAUUCUUGACUAAAAGGUUGAGUAGUUUCGCCAUCAAUUAAAGUUAAAACCACUGCAGACAGGACAGGGAAGAAAAGCUACGAGGUUUGCUCUUCACAGAAUUAAUCUGUGAAAUAAUGGAUUGUAGUUACUGGAUUAAAAUGGCAGAAAACCUAGUCUUGGCCUCCUUAAGACCAUCAGACUCCCUGGAGGCUCUGAGUUGGCUUCUCUCUUUACACCUAGAUUGCAACAAGACCUAAGCACUUGGUUAAUAUUUACCCAGGAACUUAGAUUGCUUGUGUGUCUGGCAUCUAGCCAUCAUGGAUUCCAUUCCAAUAUAUUGGUUUUCCAGUCCCUCAAUAGCUGUUAUAUGCCUUCAUUGCAACAUAUGUGUGCCAUCCAGUUUAGUUUCGGAAAGAAAUAUUUUCUGUUAUACCAAAAUUGUAGGACUGAAUACUUGGAAGCUGCAGCCCUUUAAUUCACAAAACAAAAUUUGUGAGAGAAAACUUCUCCCAAGAAAUAUGGCCAGACACGGUGGCUCACACCUGUAAUCCUAGAACUUUGGGAGGCUGAGGAGGGCAGAUCACCUGAGGUCAGAAGUUCAAGACCAGCCUGGUCAACAUGGCAAAACCCUGUCUCUACUAAAAAUACAAAAAUUAACUGGGCACAAUGGCGGGCAUCUGAAAUCCCAGCUACUCGGGAGGCUGAGGCAGGAGAAUCAUUUGAACCAGGGAGGUGGAAGUUACAGUGAUCUGAGAUCACACCACUGCACUCCAGCCUGGGUGACAGAGCAUGACUCCCUCUCAAAAAAAAAAAAAGGAAAUAUAAACCAUAUGUAUGUAUCUUUAAAGGUUACCUAUAAGGACUGGGAGAGAAGAGUAUGGAGAAGACAGAAAAAAAAGCGUUAUUUAAAUGUACUUUGUUUUUUAGAUUUGACUGAAAACACACAUUUUACUUAGUUUUUUAAAAAUCAACUUUUGAAAAGCAAUUCCCCAAACUAAAAAUUAAGUUACUUAACCUAACCGGAUAUUACAUAACACACAAAGAACUUUUUCAAGUGACUUUCAAACACAAUAAUUUGACUAGAUAUCCAUAGUGGGAUAUUUUUAAGGAGAAAAAGAAAUGUCCAAAAACAUUUAAGUGUUUGCAUUUGUAUUGUUGGUGAUAAUGUUUGGAAAUGUAUUUUGAUAAUUUUAUGUGAAAUGUGGAUUAAAGAAUACGAGUAAUUAUAU